rnacentral:rRNA from 1 species
UACGUAGGGGGCAAGCGUUGUCCGGAUUUAUUGGGCGUAAAGAGCGUGUAGGCGGUUUUACAGGUCCGCUGUGAAAACUCGAGGCUCAACCUCGAGCUGUCGGUGGAAACCGUGAGGCUAGAGUCCGGAAGAGGAGAGUGGAAUUCCUGGUGUAGCGGUGAAAUGCGCAGAUAUCAGGAAGAACACCCGUGGCGAAGGCGGCUCUCUGGGACGGUACUGACGCUGAGACGCGAAAGCGUGGGGAGCGAACAGG